UACGAAGGGGGCAAGCGUUACUCGGAAUUAUUGGGCGUAAAGCGUGCGUAGGUGGUUGUUUAAGUCGGUUGUGAAAGCCCUGGGCUCAACCUGGGAAUUGCAGUGGAUACUGGGCGACUAGAGUGUGGUAGAGGGUAGUGGAAUUCCCGGUGUAGCAGUGAAAUGCGUAGAGAUCGGGAGGAACAUCCAUGGCGAAGGCAGCUACCUGGACCAACACUGACACUGAGGCACGAAAGCGUGGGGAGCAAACAGG
rnacentral:rRNA from 1 species